CGCUGCGAGUCACUGCGUCUUUCGAGGUCGCCGCUUUCGGCGAAGAGCGAAGCACUUCUCGAAAGAGACAGCGGCAGCGGACUGUACGCGGCGGGACAAGCGUGAUCAACCGGCCGUGUCCUCCUCGUCGCCGAGUGCCAUUGUCGUUCCGGUCGAGUAAAAUUGCUUAUCUGACGCCCGGCGAAGGCCGCAAAUGAGGAAAGCCGGACGCCGCAGCUGACGGCGGAGACUGCACGGACGAAAGAAAUCCUGACCGACUGCGCUGCCAGAAGCCAGCGGCCCGUCGUCGUUGUUUACCUCGUGCCGAGAGAACGCCCGCGUCUCAGCGAAGGAACGGCGCAUCAAAACUCGCACUGCGCUACGUUCUUUUUCCACGGCUUAUUUCUUGGCUUUCGAAGACGCAAAGAACCAGAUCCAGUCUGCACACCGUACAGUGCUGGAAGACCGGAGGCUACAAGGCAAGGCUGUCCGAAGUCCGGCCAACCAUCCCGCAAGGUUGAUCUCAAAGUGACUAUGGCACUUCGAGCAAGGACGACUAGGGGCUCGGCACGGAUAGACGAGCCGGGCAGCAGCGGCAACCACGUGAGCGCGCUGACCGAAGAGCGGCCGCGCAGGAGCCUCUCCUUGGCCAUCAAGGUGGCUAUCGUUAUUGCCGUGAUCGCCAUCAACCUGCUCAUCUACGCCAACCUGGAGUAUUUCAAGUCGGACAUACCAUUCAAGGACGACCAAUGAACUCUUCCUUCUCGUCACCGCUCUUUCGGUCACUGCUGUUGAGGACUCUAUGACGAAUCGUUUGAAAGCGAACGCUGUAGAGGCCUGCAGCGUGGUCACACAGGCGUGGCCACAGCAUUAAAUGAAAUACCAAUAAAAGUCAAGCAGGGGCGUAUUUUCCUGCGUUUAACGCAAUGUAUACGUUAAAAAAGCGUUCAAUAUCAUCGCACGUUCCGGAAAUAGAACAGCUUAGCGACUGACAUUACGCAGCUAUAGAUUACGCGCAUGAAGAUGAAUAAUACUUUUUCGUUCACGUUCCCAAUGGUGGCUAGAGUAUCUAUUCUAAAAGGAGAGCCGGCUAUCGUGUAGGUGAGCGUAUUCUUCAUUUGUGCAAUUUUAAAACAAAGUGUUGCUCGAGUUGCCAAGACGCUAUACUCGCGGACAACUUUCUGGCUAUCAAGGGAAAGCUACGGAGGCAAAGCGCGCAAAAGUGAGAGCGCUUCUGCAAAGAGUCCAUGUUAGAUUAACCUGGGGAAGAGAAAACAUAAACACCUUAUUAGCAACAGUUAAAUAAGGCCAAACACAUUACUGAAUGUAAAAGCUUACUUAUUUUGCGGCUUUUCCCUUCUGCAAACGGCAAACCGUCGCACGGGGAAGCUGCGCCGAUUCAGCGUCUGUUCCGAGCAACCAAAAAGCACUGUCAAACGCUGCCGGAGUACUUCGCGCGGUAACCCAUGUGUUAAGCUCCGCCCGGUAGCUUUUCCUUCAUAGCCACAGAAAGUUAUCCGCCAGUAUACCAGUACGCUGCGAAAGAGAGAGAGAGAGAAAUAAACUUUACUGCUAGACCAGGCUUCUUGAGCACAGAAGUGGGUGGCCCCCUCAGUCCAGGUAGCCAUGGCUCGCUGCCGCCGCCCGAGCCCUGUUCACCAACCGUAUAGCUGGUUGUCAGGGUCUUGCGUCAGCAGCACGGUUUCCCACUGGUCUUCGAAUUCUUCCUCUGAAUUCACUUCUUCCUGCAUGUUAUCGCCUGAUGGGGAUGGUGACGGUGCUACUUCUCGGUUAUUCCUGCCCCCAGUACCAUAUGUCGCAAAGUGUUGGCUGUGGCCGGAGGGCAGAACUUGCAGUCCGUACAGAUGGUGAACCAGCGAAGCUAAAACAUGCGCCCCUGUGUUUAUGAGUGGGCUAAUCCCGGUGGUUCAUUAAAGUGUUUCUUAAUUAUUG